UUAGCCACGGUUUUAGGUUCGGCAAAUUCCAUGUGGGUUAGUUACAUAGCUACAUCGUUGAUAAGGACGGCGAUCCCAAGCGCCAUAGGAAAGUUGACCUACUACAAUCAACAACGGUAAAAGACGAUUUUAAACAGAUUCCGAUUUGCGUGGAAUACUUCCAGGGGUUAACUAUCUCGGAAUACUUCAUUCGUAACAACUGCGAACCACCAAGACGAACGACAUCGCUAUACCAAAGCCUAACUAACAUGCACGAAUCCGCCAAAAAAGAAAAGAAAAGAAAUAAAAGAAAUAAAAACACAUUUCAUCUGUCGCAUAUGCAGUGACAUUCAGCAACUGGACAAAUCCUAUGCUUUUUGAACCAGUCCCUUGCAUGGUGAGCAUGGAAUCCAUGAUUGCAAUUAAUGCAGAAGACCACAAACCUUUUCAUCACAUCUUCCUGAGGUGCCUCACUUGCUUGCUUGCUCGUACUUCCGCUAGCAAUACCAGCUCUGGACAUCGGAUCUGUGGUGCCUAACCAUAAAGAACAAAUCCCGCAUCUGGGCAUAUGUCGCCCACACUUUGGGCAGAUAGUACCUGACUGGGAUGCGGUGCCGAGGGGGCUUGCUGUUAUUGAAUGAACGACUUCCAUGCCGGUCGAGGGGAAAACCGGGUAGUCAGGUUCAUCCUGCUGGGAGAGAGGACGAGUACAGUAGUUGCAUGUCAAACUGAUUUGUUGCGGUGGCGGUUUUAUGAGUCUGUGGCCAUCCCAAGUGACUGCCAACUUCCGUGAUUCAACGUCAAACCUAGCCCUAUCUAGCUGGAGUUUCCAGGCAUUCACUUGCCGUCGAUACGUCUCUCUCCAGGCUUCAAAUCGGAUACUGUUUGGUGGAUCGGUAAUGAAUCGCGGGACAGUAUGGCUCAUAGCAAGAACAGGUGUUUGAAUGUCGCCAAACUUGUCUAUGUAAGAUUGGAAUAGACCCAUUGCUCCAUGGUUAAGGCCAGUAAGGAUGACUCCUUCAACAUCCCCUUGGCGUAUUGCAUCCAUAGUCGCAUCCCCCAGGUAAGAACUUAACUCGUUGUCGGGAAGCCAGCGGAGAGCGACCUCCACUCUAUAUCUUAAAGGAAGGGUGACCUCCUUAAUCACAGAAUUCCAGUCACCUUUGCUCAUCAAAGCUAAAAUAGCCCGAGCGUAGGGGUCUGUGAGCUCCUGGGCGAUUUCCCUACAUGUCUCCUCCC
rnacentral:sRNA from 2 species